UACGUAGGGUGCGAGCGUUAAUCGGAAUUACUGGGCGUAAAGCGUGCGCAGGCGGCUUUGCAAGACAGAUGUGAAAUCCCCGGGCUCAACCUGGGAACUGCAUUUGUGACUGCAAGGCUAGAGUACGGCAGAGGGGGAUGGAAUUCCGCGUGUAGCAGUGAAAUGCGUAGAUAUGCGGAGGAACACCAAUGGCGAAGGCAAUCCCCUGGGCCUGUACUGACGCUCAUGCACGAAAGCGUGGGGAGUAAACAGG
rnacentral:rRNA from 1 species